rnacentral:rRNA from 1 species
AGUGAACGCUGGCGGCAGGCCUAACACAUGCAAGUCGAACGGCAGCACAGGGGAGCUUGCUCCCUGGGUGGCGAGUGGCGGACGGGUGAGGAAUACAUCGGAAUCUACCCUUUCGUGGGGGAUAACGUAGGGAAACUUACGCUAAUACCGCAUACGAUCUGAGGAUGAAAGCAGGGGACCGCAAGGCCUUGCGCGAUUGGAUGAGCCGAUGUCCGAUUAGCUAGUUGGCGGGGUAAAGGCCCACCAAGGCGACGAUCGGUAGCUGGGCUGAAAGGAUGAUCAGCCAAACGGGAACUGAGAAACGGGCCAGACUCCUACGGGAGGCAGCAGUGGGGAAUAUUGGACAAUGGGCGCAAGCCUGAUCCAGCCAUGCCGCGUGUGUGAAGAAGGCCUUCGUGUUGUAAAGCACUUUUGUUGGGAAAGAAAUCCUGUCGGCUAAUACCCGGCGGGGAUGACGGUACCCAAAGAAUAAGCACCGGCUAACUUCGUGCCAGCAGCCGCCGUAAGAC